ensembl:lncRNA
GUAAACUGAUAAAGACUGAUCUGAGCUGCUUUCUGGGUGGGUAAGGGGAGAAGCAUUGUGAGCUGGGACUGGAAUGUGUUGCUGAGCCUGGAAAACACAACCCUGUGUUUUCCUCUGGGUGGAUAUUGAGGACUUGUGCUCAAUGUCCGGCCCCGUCAAGUCCUGGGGGUCCUGUUCUGCUGCUGAGCAUGUAGGCAUCAAUUGCAACAGCUCAGCCCAUCCUUGGGCUCCUCACCCCAUCACAAGUGAUUUUGCAAGGGAAAAAAGUUUAAAGUCCACCUCCUUACUCAACACCAACAUGCCCAGGUCUGCCAGCAAAAACACAAAGCACACCCACAGCAAUGCAGAGCUCAUUCUUUACCCCCAAAGGCCCCAUAAAGCCCCCCCAGAUCACCUGGAGGUGCAAAACCUGCUGAGGUCUUGCGUUGUCUUGCAGUGGAGGUGCAAAAGGGCAAGGAGCAGUGCCUGCGCAACGCCCUGGGCUGCUGCAAUCAGCCCAUCCUUUCUUGCAAUCCCUCUUGGCAGGCCAAGGCGAGCGGGGAGGGCCCUCUCACAUAGGCUGGCUGCUCUCCAAGGAGAAGCAAAUGCAAAUAUUUCUUCACUUUGGGCUGGGUGCGGCCUGGGGAUAAAAUUUCCCUGGUCUUUCCCAGAGAAGGCAUCCGACACCGUGCCCUGCUCCCAGGAACAUGAGAAUGUAGGACAAAAAACCACAAAGGUUAUCUUUCUUGCAGCUCUAGGGUUGCUAAAAGGAGCUGACAGGCGCGACCGUAAUAUUUUUAAACCAGCGAUCACGGUUUUCCUUUGUAACAAAAAAGGCCUUUCGCAGGUUUCAUUUGCAAGCUGAAGAUUUUGGUGCAGCAUAAGCAAGGCUGUAAAGGGAAACGGGUUGGAAACGGCCCCAUCAGCCGUGAGAAAUGUGAAAAGCAGGCGGUGGACUGAGGGAGAGCUGAGCUGGAUUCCUGGCGUGCCUUCCCUCUGCCAUCACUGCCUCCGAGGUGAAAGCUGCUGGGGAGCGGCGAGCAGGAGCCAGCACUGCAGCGAGAUGGGGAAACUGAGGCUGGAGCAGUCGAGAAGGGAGAAGGAAUGGCAACAGUGCUUUGUUUUUCUUUUAAAAUGGAUUUUAGAGCAGCUGGAGGAAAUCUUUUUUUUUAUUUCCCCCUCCCCCCUCUUUGGUUGACCUGAGUUAAUUGUGAGCAUGUCCCAGCUGGCUUGCUGCAGUGUCAUCCUUUCUGGCAGAGCAUUCGGAUCCAUUUUUUGCACUUCCCUGCGCUCGACACAACCUAAAAGCCAGCAGCUCUCAUGAAAUGUGCUCUGGUUAAGGGAGAGGGCUGGAAAGCAGCUGGAAUUGUUCUGGGUUAAAAAUAAGCGGAGCAGCGCGAGCCCUGAAAUCCUCCAGCUUCGUGAUUUGGAGCAUAGCCAGGAUGAAAAAAAAAAAAAAAGAAAAAAAAAAACGGGGAAAAAAAAAAAAAAAAAACAACAAACCACAAAGAAAAUAACACUGUGCUAUUGUCCUUCUAUCCAGAGAUCUGUUUACAGAGAAUCCCACAGCAGGACCUGCAUGGAUCGUCCCCUCCAUACGCAGCGCUGGGGGGUUAUUUUUAACGCAAUGUUUUCCAUACGCCAGGAAAAAAAAAAAAAAAUCGAUGCAUCCCAUUAUGCAAGCCUUGUUACCGGGCUGUAAAUGAUAUUCCGGGUUAUUAAAUAAAUAAAUAAGGCAAAAUAAAAUUAAAAAUCACCCAACCCACCCUAUUUCUGAAAAUAGACACGGGAGCUCUGACAGCAUCCAUCCUAUCAUCAGUGUGGAUUACAGCACCCUGCAGCCCUGGUUUUCCAGAUGGAAUUAAGGAUUUUUGCCCAGCUCUGACUUGGAGUGGUUUAUUUUCUUCAUUAUUUCUCUGGGGCGCUGAUGGGAGCCCAAAGGUGUGUGCUUUAUUUAAAAAUAUUUAUAUAGAAAAAGGCAGGAGGUGUCUAUCUGUCAGGGAGGCUCACGGACAUCAGCAAAGGGUGAGGGGAAUAUCUUCUGAAAUUAAACAUAUCCCUUAAUUCUGUGAAAGGUCAAACUUUCCCUCACAGACCUCAUCUCCUUAACGCAAGUGGCUGUACGCAGGGUGCUGAGGAGACCUUGUCCCCUUGUCCCCUUUUCCCGACCCUGUUUUAAGAACACCGCGUAACCUUAUUUUGUGAAGGAAAAAACAACAACAACAACAAAAUUGUGAGGGUAAAUGAGCGAACGGAGGAUGUUUUUCUCACAGAAAGGGGAGGGGGAGGCAGACGGCCGCGCGGUACAGCGCCGCCCGCGGUACUGCAGGGCCCCGCCCGCUGCUCGCUUCACAAAAUGGCGCCCGGCGGGGCCGCGCCGAGCGGUACUGAGGCGACAAAAUGGCGGCGGGCGGAGAGCGCGGGAAGGGCCCGCGGCGCCCUGAGGGCCGCUCGUUCCCUUCCCGUCCCCCUCACCGUCCCAUUUUGAAGUGUUUUUUUCCCCUCACAGCGUGAAGAUUUUGGGGUCAACGCUGCUCUUUCCUCCCCCUCCACACGCGCCCUCCCAGAGAUUUAGGGCCGUGCAGGUGCUCUUUAUUCCCACAUGUCUCUAUAUAUCUCCUUAUCCCAGAGAUGGAUUGCAGAACAAAGCCACUCACCUACAACGCUAUGAUCCAAUUACACACAAUUACUCUCACUUUGGCCCGUACGUAUCUUGGAUUUUAUAUAUUUAUUACCUUUGUUUUCCUCCAUUGGCUUUCUACUGUCCUAAGAGCAAGAGGGAAAAAAAAUUACACGCACACACCCAAAAGAAAAAAAAAAAAGACGAAAAAUAAUAGUUAAAAAAGGUAAAAACAAGCAAAAUGCGACCAGCCGCCCAUUUGAUCAGUCCGUGGUGAAGAUUGGUGCCUGAAUGCUUUAUUUGUUCCACAGAGGUGUAGAUUUCCCUUGGGAUGUUGGGGAAAGAUUUCUUAAUUAAAGGAUAAAAAAAUAAAAAGUAAAAAAUAAAGCAGUGAAACAGAACCAAAAAGGAAAGCAAUAUUAAUUAUUUAAAAAAAAGAAAAAAAAAAAAAGAAGAAGGCAGCUGACUCUGCCAGUGCAGUCGGGCAGGCACUGAAUUCAUUGCACCGAAAUGAGGACGGAUGAGCUGAACUGAGUGGCAGGGCUUAGUGCAGCUCCGGGAGGAGGGCUCAGCUCCUUGUCCCACUAUCCAGCGCCGCACACACCACCAUUUGUGUGCUUUUGUGCUUUAUUUCCAGCCCCGCGGGCUGCCCUACGUGAUGCACGGAGCGACGUGCGUGCCCCGCUGCUGUGCAUUCCUCUCCCUUUUAUUGCCUGCUCUAUGGCUCAGCUCGCUUUUUUUUUUCUCCCCCCUCUGCGGGCAGCAGGGUUGCUCUGCUUUCCUCUCCCCAGCUCGGCUGCUGAUUCCAGAAGUUUCUACAGCAAAGGAAAUGCACGGGGGAGGGGAGCACCUACUGCGGAGCUUUGCCGCAGCCGGGCAGGCGUGGAGGAGGAGGAGGAUGCGGAGGAUGCACCACCUCCCUCUCUCUCUUUCUCUUCCCCCCUCCCUCUCUCUUUGGUUCAGGACGCUUUCCAAGCCUCUCCCCCUCGCUACAUUUCCCCAUCCUUGCAGAGGGUGCUGGGAGGUGUUUGCAAGUUGUUUUUUUUCCUUCCCCCCCCCCCCCACGCACACACACACUCCGUUUCCUCCCCCUUUGCUAAAUAAAUUAAAAGCAGAGAUGUCUCCUGAUGGAGAUGGAUGAGGCUGGGCUCACUUGCAUGCACUGUGCCCCAGCUCCGAUCUGCUGCUUAGGGCAGAAGUGACCUUUCCCAGGCAGUGGGAGGGAGCUUCCCCCCACCCUGCUAUGCUGCUGCUUGGAAUUCAUCUUACAUAGCAGCCUCAUUUUUUUUUUUUUAUCCCCCCCUCCAAAGAACAGCUUGCUGCUACAGUGAUUGUUUUUUAUUAUUUUUAUUUAAUUAUUAUUUUCAGCCCAUGUUGCAGCUUCCUUAUGAUCGUUUUGUGUGUGUGUGUGUGUGUGUAUGCUUUGAACUGCAUUUUAAAUUUGCCCAGCUGGAGACAAGUCUCGAUUAGAGCUGGAACAAUAGCUCCAUUUUAUUAAUAAUGGGAAGGAUUUACGAUUCUACAGCACCUUCCUUGGAAGGCUUUCAAAACCAUUUGCAAACUCUCACAAAUGUAAGCUUUCACAGCCCUGCCUGUGAGGUGGGGAAAUGCAGGAUUGUUUGUGUAACUCCCACUCUACAGCAGAUAGCUUCUCUGUCACCAUGACUUCAAUGUGCACAGUCCAAGCAGUCACUUGUGAGCAAGGAGAGCAGGUAUUGGCACCUCCUCAUUAGCCUUCAUCAAUGAGAAUAUUGGCUAUGGUGUUGCGUGAGUGCCACUGGCUGACCAAUGGAGGGGCCCUACCCUGCUAAGCUGGAGCAACACUUUCUGAGUGGUGAUUUCAUUGCCUGGUUGCUGCAGUGAUUUGGAGCACAGCUGUGACGUUAUGCUUUUUCUGGCAAAAAUUUAGCUGAGGGGCCACUGUACCCUGUGGGAAUUGUACUACUUUUCUGUGGCAGUUUGGGAUAACUGAGGGCUUCCUUGGGAGUGUUGGACUUCUACCGCCACACGCUUUGGAUUGAAGAGUUACCAGAACGACAUCUGUGAGGUUUCCAAGCUAAACAAAACCUGAAUUUCUGGUGCAAAAAGCAACGUGAUUUCUGUCAUUCCUGCUGGGCAUUGCACGUGGGCCUUUUCAUGGAGAGGUAACGCCCUGCAGCUGUGUGUUAAACAUGGCAACAUACAGGAUACAGUGAUCUCUCCACUCCCAGGAGCCUGGAAGACUGAAGCCCUCUGCCUAGAGGAUGAAAUGCUUCAUGUUUGGAAAAAAAACUAGCAGGCUUUGUCUGUGACAGCUCCUUUCCUGUGGAUGUCCUUCCAGCCAGGCUGCCCGCAGUGUGACAGCAGUGACCCUGUGUGAGGUUUCUUUGAAGGACCUGGGAGACUGCGUGGCUUUUUCUUGUCCCUCGGAGGUGCUUCCCUGGCAGGGAGGGAGGAAAAUGAUUGGCAGUGCUGUCACAGGAGGCAUGCUUACCUGGCUAGGGGAAAGCUUGGUGUGGAAAAGCCAGCUGGUGCAUGGUUUGGGGAAGGAGAGGUUCCUUUCUCUCCAGAAUGGAAUCCCUUAAGGAAGGUAUAGACAAGCAGUUCCUGCUCUUGGGGCUUCUGGCUGGUUAAAACAAAGAGCUGAGCCCAUUUCCAUGGAGAAAUGUAUAAUAGAGCACGUUGCAGUGCUUUUCCUUGCGUGUGCGUGGCUUGGUCACACGUUUAACUAAUAGAUGGUUUGCAUGCAAGAGGUUAUUGCUUUUUUAUACUUUCAAUCAGUCCAUCUCCAUUGGGCAGAGCAGCUUCACAGCCACCAGCACGGGGGAAACUGAGGCACGGGGCUACAGUGGGAUUACAGGCAGAGCCGGGGAUAAGGCUCAGGUUUGCCGAGGCUCAGACCGACGUGCGUCAGAGGGCUGAUUAAAUGGAGAGAUUUGCAAAGGGAAGUGACCUAUAGCUCCAUGGCCGGGACGGUGUGCUGGACUCGAUCCUUGUGGGCACCUUCCAACUCAAAGGGCAGUUUGGUCAGGGGUAGGGCUGGGUAAGCACGGCGAGCGCGGCCGACAGGGAGCGAGAUGUGGUGAGCUCCUUCCAUUGCCUUAGCCUGGAGCACAGCCAACCCGCGGGGCUCAUCCAGCACUGAACUUUGGAGUCGUUGCAGAUAAACAGCGCUAUAGGCUAAUAAAAGGCUCUGCCACGCAGGGCCCGGUCUGCCCGCACCGCAAUGACUUUGUUACGUGCUGACUGCAGUGAGGGACGGCGCUGGGUUUGCCUUCUCCUGGCCUUGGAUGGAGAGGAGCGGGCAGAACCUCGAGGCCUUUUGCCCCGCACCCAUUUCUGCACGGCAGCCCUUUACAUUUCACAGCGUGCUCCAUUUUUUUUCCUACUCCUAUUCCUUUUGUAGCACAGCCCCCCUUUUUUGCAACAGUCCCCCUUUCUUCCUUCGUACCGUAUGUUUUAUUUGCUUAUUUCUUUAUGUGCAAUCCCUUAAUCCAUCACCUUGCAUUGCAGCCCCGCUUUUCGGCAUGCAUCCCUUGCUUUCCACAACCCACCUCGUGCAUUUAUUACUUUCCAUCGCAGCUCCCGUUUCUGGCUCGCACCUCCUCUUUUUUUUUUUUUUUUUUUUUUUGGCCGUGCUUCCUUUAUCUAUGACUUCCCAUCCCAGCCCUGUUUGUAUCUGCCAUACAGUCCCUCCGUCACGUCGCGUUACACCGCGCUCUGCCCGCUCCGCUCCCGCAGCCCUCCACCGCUGCGCUCCCCGCGCAUGCGCACUCCCCCUCCC